UACAUGAAAAUAUUCCUAUGUAUACUUAAACAAUCAUGAAGCAACAAGACAAUUCUCAUUAUUAAUCUCACUGGUUCUUUCGUGUUUGAAUAAUUAGUAGAUUAAGUUUCAUUCAAGAUUUCUGACAAUAUUUUGGUGCUAGCUACUCGUAGUUGUGGUCACUUUGAUUUCUGGAGCUCAGUACGUAUCUCCUUCCUCCUUGAUCCAUAAUAAAUCUACUUAAAUGAAGAGAACUUUACGAGGUAAGGGAUAGUGGUGGUAAUAGACAUGGUGAGGUACUGCAAGAUCCGAGCACCGAUAACCAUUUGUAUACGACGAUAAUGAUAGAUAAUGUUUCAUGAACAUAAUAAAUCAUACAAUAAGAUCAAUACAAUAAAAACGAUCGUUGAUUAUUUUCAAAUAAUCUUCCACCUACACACAGAAUACAGAAUAAUACAGAACUAUUACAUAACUUCCAUUUAUGAAUGGCUGCCUUAUCUAAUACCUUUUUUCAUAUCACAAAAUCUUGCACAAAAAUAUGUUUUUUCCUUCGCUUACUAGAAUGUAUAUAGAUAUUAGACAUUGUUCCGUCGUCAUUAUCUUAUAAAAAUGUUGAUUAGAAUAUCAUAUAACGUACAUUCCAAUCAAGACGGCAAGAGGUAAAUAAACCAAUUAUUGCUUUCGAAACUAAUGUAAUUAAUUUAAUAAAAAAUAAAGAUACCGAAGAUAAAAAAGGAAAAAAGCACUCUAUUCGUAUCUUUUGUAAUUAUAGCAUCUGUGAAUUUUUUCGAUAUAAUCUCUCUCUUUCUCAGAAAUCGAUUAAUAAAAUUUAAUGAAAAUUAUUGAUACGGCAUCUAAUAUAACAGGAAGGAUGAUUCUUGUAUUUUAACAAUAUCAGAUUUAUUCAAGAACGUUUGCAAAUCUUAAUCUUCAAGUAAAUAUCACGGAAAUUUUGUAAUAUUCAGAUACAUGACUAUUAAUAGUAAAUGCAUUAGAAAGGUCAGCAAUGUUUCUUGCAGUUCUCGUACUAAUCAUCUCCGUACACCCAUAAUUUUAUAUUAACGCUACAUGUGAACGUGCUUCGAUAUAGCUUACAGUUCAUUUUAUCGCAAGUAUCCUAGAUCGAUUUAUACAUGAUGUAAUUAAAAGCUACGUACGGGGUUUUCACGUAAUUUGCUCAAGCCAUGAGCUCUGAAACGGUAGAGGAUAAAAAAGAUCAUUAACUGAAAUUUAUUUCGAAUGAUGUAGGUAUUAUUUGGUAUACGUGUUCAUUACCGAAAAGCAGAUAUUUUAAAGAUUUCUGGAUCACCUUUAUUUUAUAUAUAUACAUGUAUAAAUAUAUAUAUUUGUAUGGUACAUGUUUUUAUACUUCAAUUGAGACAUCGUUUUAUCUAUAUGUAUACAUAUAAUAAAACAGUAAAAGGAUUGUGUCUGUACAUUGAAUAAAAAAAAUAAAACAAUCAUCCAGGAACAGUUCGUAAGCUACGAAGUCAAAGAGGUUAAUUUUUAGAAUUUUUCUCGGUCUGUACUUGCAUCGCGUAAAGCUACUGAACGGAUUUUGAUGGUGUUUUCUCUGUUGUAUAGCUUAAAUGUCCGAAAAAGAAAAUAGAUAGAAACUGAUUUUAUAGAAGCUAAGAAAUAGCUUGACAUCCGAGUUGUAUGCGCUCUUAUGUUUCAUGAAGGUUAAGUAGUGAUGGUUAUUGUUAACAUCGUCUUUUUUCUGAAAUCUUCUUAUAAUUUAACAUUUUUUAUUGCAGAGAUUCACAUAAUUGUCAGUAUAACAAAUAUGUCGGUAUUUUAUUCAUAAAAAUAGAUCAAUAAUUGUAGAAUAUAACGUGUAAAAGACAAGGAACAAAUACUCUCUUGCAUUCAUUUUCUGCGUCUUUCAUACACUAAAUUUGACAAAAUUAAAAUUCAAAUAUCAUUUAAAUUAAUCAAUCAAAAUAUUUUCAGCAAUCAAUUUUCGGUCUUCCGCAAUGAAAUCUUUUUCAUAUUCUAACAUUUUAGAGCUAUAACUUGUGUAAAGAGCUAUAGCUAAAUGGAACACCCAGUAUAGGUAUAUGAUAUAUGUAUGUGUUCGUUACACAACUAUAUUGCUGCAACGGACAAUGCAACUUGCAUACAACAACCUUUUUGUAUAGGUAGAGCUAGAAUAGCGUUAACAAGGAUAUGACGAACAGUGAUAAAUAAGGAUAAUUUUCGUAGAAACGAGGCAUUAAAUCACAAUAUUGAAAUAAAAUUCAAGUUGUAUCAUUAGCAUAAACUUCAAUACUUUGCUUCAGAUAGUUUGCAUAGAUAUUUUGUUCAAGGAUAACAAAGAUUCUUUACAGACACGUCAAAAAUCUUGGUAUUUAUUCUUCAAGGGUCAGGUAGUCGCCUUUAAUAUUUUUAUUUAUUUGUUAUCUUCAAUAAUCUAUUUGUCAUUUUUUCUUCCAGUCUAUUUACUAAAGAUUAUUAUUAUUUUUUUAAUUUUACUACUGUUUUAGUAUUUCUAAAAUUACGUAUAUUAUUAUUGUGAGUGAAGUAUUUAUUUUUUCAUAUUUAAAGUAUUUUUCUAUUUUUUGGAAUCAAACUGUUUAUAAUACUAUAAUAAAUUACUUUCUUUUUAAAUUAUACUUAAAAUAUUCAUUUUAAUUAAUAUUUUUAGAUCUCUAACCUGGUUUCUAUCAAAUGUCUAUUAUUGAUAAAACAAUAUGUAAGUUAUAUUAUGUUACAUUUCUUGAUAUUUAUUAAAGAUUCACUGCUUACCUAGUUCUUAAUGAAUAGAUUCUCUAGAAUUCUUUUGUCUGACAAUGGAGACGUACAAACGGAUUCUUACAAAUGUAUACAAUACGUAUUUUUUCAUAGAAAUUCUCAAGUUGUUGACAGUUGUCGAUCAUUUACGUGUUUGUGAAUCACCUUGAUCUCUUUAAACGACGAUCGUGAUCGGUAAGUUAAAAAGACUAAGAGGGAUGACUCUUGUCAUUACGUAUAUAUUUACGACCAUGCGCGUAACGCAUCUUGAUUUCUACUUUCCUAUCUCCAGUGCAUUAGGAUUCCCCGAUCAUCGCAUCGCUGUAAUUACGCCACGUUUACGAUAUCCAUAACACGUACAUAUAUACAUGCUAACAUGAUACGAGAACACGAUGAAUUAUGACUAAAUUAUUCGUUCUUCGAUUUCCAAUUUCCACGAUAUACAAUUAUAGAUGUACAAUUAUCAUAAAUGUAAUAUACAAUGGCUACAAAAACUAUUCGUACUUGUAUUUUUCAUAUUAUAUUUAUAUAUUACAUGUUACAGUUUGAUAUGAAACUUAAUAUACUAGACCUUAAUUAAUUAAUAUGUAAAUAAUAUAAUAAGCAAAAUGAUGCAAGAAUACUUUUUAUAGUCAGUGUAUAUUUUUCGUUGAAGUUGCACUGUAAAUAUUUAAUAGUAAGUGAGAUUAUUCGUCUUGCAGCACGAAAGUCUCGAGACGUGUCGAUAAUCGCACGUUUAAAAAUAUAGAAUCACCUAAAGAACAAAGUAAACACCAAGCAUGGAAACAUACCGUAUGAAAGUUAAUGCCGUGAAAUUUCGGGCCAGUUAUCAAAUUUAUAGCAAUGCCACUUGAGAGAUUGAUUACUUUAAUUAGGACAAAAAGCCUCAUGCUACCGUAAGUCUUAAAGUUUUCUUGUCGGUAAUAUCGACUAAUUGAAAUAACCUACAACUGUUUUUGUCUAUAACUGUCAUGUCGUAUCACACUGUGAGACAUCCUGUAUAACGAAAAACGGGAAGUAGUUUAGAACCAUCUAUAAACCUAUAAGAUCUUAUAUAUCUUAUCAAAUGAUCCAAUAUAUGAGUUCUUUUAUUUUUCUUUCACUUCUAGAAGUAUUUCUCGAAUCUUUAUCAUUUUAUCUCCGUGGUGUCGUAAUUAAGCGCUAUCGAUCACGUCAAUCGAGCACCGUGAAAUUUGAUCGGUAUUAUAAAAUUGAUCGAUAUUAGAAUUUUCGGUGACAUUGGCGCGAUAGGGAGCCAAACGGAUUGUGUAGAACCCAGAUUGGUCAACGUGACAAGGUUACAGACCAAUUAAGGAGAGACGUGGUGGUACCGUGUCCCCAUUGCGCGAUCCCCCUCGAACGAGCCUUUGCGUAAUGUCUUUAUUUACAAACCAUAUGCGAAUCAUAUAGCAAUUUCACCAAUCAGGCCACUGAUGUCUGACACCGGGUAAGGCCGAGGGUACGUUCCGCGUGUGUUUAGCCAAAUUUAUACCUUUUAGUUUUCGAUGACCAUCGCGGGUCAUUCAUUGAAAAACACUGUUUUUGUCCACAGUGACCAUGAAUUGAGCUGGUAUAGUGUACUAUAACUUUCAUCUUUCACAUUCACCGUGGAUGAGUCAUCUACGAUGAUUCUCCAAAAUGGUAGGUGCAAAUUCGGCUUGAAUCGCCGAUUGAACCGUAAUCAUUGAUAAGCGACCAUGAUCUGAACCGUUCCCCAUGUAAAGUGAAGUAAGUCCAUACAAACUUGUAACCUUACAGAAUUUUUCAAGAAUGAUACCACCUCUUUAUGAAUCGUAAAAUUAACGGUACAUUGUGAGCUUUAAGAGAAAGGAGAAGGAAAUUAGAAAAAUGGAGGUGAUGCUGUAGAAGAGAAAAAUCAAAAUUUCAGAUGGACAAGUUUCGAAUAAACAAACAUUCAAUGUAAAAAUAGUAUGAUUAUUCAUCCAGAUCUCGUCAACGCGAUACAUAUUAUAACAUUUAAUUUUUGUAAAAUAUCAAUUGUAUUUGCGCACUUUUUUUUGACGUUGUUAUCAAAAUCAUUGACACAAUUGAAAAUUAAUCAAUCCAUGAAAUUUAUCUUAUUUUAAUCAUUCUUAAAUAUUUAGUAACUUGGGUCACCUGUUAACAUCGCAGUAGUCAACAUGUGAAACCGGAUCAAUCUCGAUCAAUCCGGAUUAUCGGGAUCGAAUGAUCCAAAUCCGGAUUAUCGAGUUCCCCGUUUAUUUUAUUAAUUAUGGAAAAAAGGAGAAAUGAAAUUUCAUUGAUGUAAUUAUAAUUUGUGGGAAAUUAUCCGGAUUAGCGAAACUCGAUUGCGCAUGAUGUCAGACUGCGAUUAAUGUGCAAACGCAUUUCGAUCGGACGUCUCGACAAAGUAUUUGUUACACAAACAUAAUCUUCUAUUAAACAGACUCGUGAUUCAAAUAUAAUAUUUAUAUAACAAGUCAAGCAAUUAUUAUACAUGCAGUUAUAGACAACUUGACAUCAAUUAAUCAAGAAUUUCAGCGGCGAUCCUUUGUACACAAUGUUUGUUGCACUACCGGAGUAUAUUGCAUACGUGUUACGUACAUAUGGAACAAUAACGACGUAACGAGAACGAGUUAUAAAAACAGAUAAAAUACGAAAAAUGAACUCAACACGACGGAAUGGAAACAAUAGUAAAUAAUUGAAACGCCUCGAGAACAAUUUACGUGUGAACAGCGGAUACGUAUCCUUAGUUGCAGUAUCAAUUAUUACACAUGUAGCCAGGUAUGCGGAUUGAAAGUAUGUACUAAUGAAGGAGAAAGGAGUUUUUUUUGUAUCUGCACUACACAACUACAGAGUAAACGAAAAUCAUGCACGUAACAAACGCAAUACACGUAAAUACGGAUCACGUAACGUAUAAUCUUUCUAAAAAUUCUUUUCUUUUAGAGAAGUACUGUCUUGAUAAAUGGCCAGCGUAUCUCCAAUACUUCUUAGUAUUACUGCCUCACUUCAUUUCUAUCUCAGACCACGUAGCAGAAUUCUUGUAAGCCAUUACUGGCAUGGACCAGAUUCAGUCCUAAUCCAUGAUCAGUUAAAAAAGCAAUACUAUAUCUUUUAAAACCUAUAUUUUUAAAAGUUGCUAAACUAUUAAUAGUAUACUAUAUUUUUAAAAGUUGCUAAAUUAUUAAUUUGUUAUUAAUUGAAUAAUGAAAAUUGAAAGAUUGCAGUUGAGAACAGGUGACAUUUGGUCUUGUUAUCAUAUCGCUCCCUUUGCAAACUUGGAUAAGAAAUCUAAGAAUAAUAUAUCGUCGUUCUUAAUCGUAGAAUUGUGAUUAAAAAUAAAAUUGCAUUUUUUAUUGCAAAUUACUAAUCAUGUUAAAUGAAAGUGGAAUAUUGUCAAUUUUUACCAUUAAUUACCUUCACUCUAUUUAUACGAAACUGACAUAAAUGAAUAAGCAUCUUUUGAGUUUCUACAUUCCCAAAAAUGAACAAUUAAUAUUUUAUCUUAGGUUUUGAAGUGUCUCAAAGAUAGGCUCAAAUGAUUAAAAUAAGAUUAUUAAAAGUAUAUUCUCGGAUACAUACGAAAUAAAGAUAAAUCGGUAUCAAAUCUCAUUUUUGAUCAUUUUUGAUAGAAAAUUUCUGGUUCAUUUCAUUCAAUUUAUAAUUAAUUUUGUUUUAUGAGUAAUACAUGUAUUCAACAAUGAUAUACAGCUUGUUAUUUAAAUUUCUUUGAUCGCCUAAUGCUAUCAAUCAUUUUGCCAAAUGACGUUAAGAUGAUAGCGACGAAUCAACAAGUCGAUUCUCACGGUAUAAUAAAUCACUAGUAACAACCGAAAUAAUUCGAUUUCAUGCAUUUAUUUAUAACAAUAAUAGCUAAUUCUUUUUAUAACGACGAUUUGCAAUACAAAUAUUUUCUGCACUGGCAAACCAUUUAUCAAAAUACAACAUUAUAUCUUCAUUAAUAAUUAAUUUAUGAAUAGUAUAAAUUAUCAAUCAGUCAUCGUUAAACAUUCUGACUAUCUUCCAUUUCAAGAAAUUCCAUUAAAAAUAAAAUUCGCAAUCUAUAAUUGUUUUGCAAAAAGUGCAUUUUCUAUUGACACUGAUGUUUUGUGAAGAAAUAUAUUGCUUAUCGCUAAUACUUUAGCUUUGUUAAUAAUUAUACUAUAAGCUUACUUACUAACCUUCGUUACAAGUUGCAAAUAAAAAUGUUUAAUUACUAAUAAUUAUUACUAAUUACUUAUUAGAAAGUGUUACAGAAGAAAUAGUAAAUAAAAAUAAAAUAAAAAUAAAAAUAAAAAUAAAUAAAAGCUAUAAACUUCUUUUUGUAAAUAUCGCACGCAAGACAGUCUUACACCGAUUAAUUCCUAUUCACAGAGAAAGAUUCUAAGAGCCGGUAACAACCUUCUACCCUUUACUUGUGUCGUUUGUAUAUAUUCUACGACGCAUACAGCAAACGAGCACAUGUUCAUAUUCACUUCUAUAUAGAAUACCAUCGUUGUGUUAAAAGAGGAAUAAGGAUAAAAACAAAAAUUACCUGAGUAAUUCAUAGAUGCAUUUGCACGCUUGAAAUGAGUAUGUAUUUGUAAAAAUAGAUAAGAAAUGACACACGCACACAUGAACGCGCGCGUAUUCGUUAUUACAAAUUACGAGAAGGUGUAAAAACAUUCCAUAAUUCAAGUAUAGGCUAUAUAGUAUAUAUAUGUAUAUAUAUAUUAACGUAAAUGUAAUCUCUAUAUAUGAGAGGAUGAAAAGCAAUUAUUGCUUAUUGUUGAGGAACGCGUAUAACGCGAACGACAUUAU